GUGACGCACGUGUAACUGUUUUUGUUUCUUUGCUUUCUAUGAGGAAGUGCAUUAGGAAGCAUAAGGAAGUGCAAGAGGAAGUGUGCCUUGGAGAGCAGAGGGACAUGAGCAUUUCUUCUGCAUCGAGAGCUGUUGUCAGAAUUUUUUACAAAGCUCAUGGCUCUGAAAAGCGAGGUGUGCUGUGAUUGGCCAGUUAACCAGUGCGUAGUGAUUGGUGGAAUACUGCAAGCAUGUGAGGGAAAUGUAACGCCUCUUACCAUAUUUGGAACAUCAGGAUCCUCUUCAAUUGUGCUGACAGGUCAAACGGUCAGAGGUUGCUGAAUUUGGUGACUGUGUGAUAAUUGGGUCAGCAGGUUACAUGGACGUAACGACAACGGUUUGGACUUCAACGUGGGUCAUUCAUUU